GGGAGCUUGCUCCCUGAUGUUAGCGGCGGACGGGUGAGUAACACGUGGGUAACCUGCCUGUAAGACUGGGAUAACUCCGGGAAACCGGGGCUAAUACCGGAUGCUUGUUUGAACCGCAUGGUUCAAACAUAAAAGGUGGCUUCGGCUACCACUUACAGAUGGACCCGCGGCGCAUUAGCUAGUUGGUGAGGUAACGGCUCACCAAGGCAACGAUGCGUAGCCGACCUGAGAGGGUGAUCGGCCACACUGGGACUGAGACACGGCCCAGACUCCUACGGGAGGCAGCAGUAGGGAAUCUUCCGCAAUGGACGAAAGUCUGACGGAGCAACGCCGCGUGAGUGAUGAAGGUUUUCGGAUCGUAAAGCUCUGUUGUUAGGGAAGAACAAGUACCGUUCGAAUAGGGCGGUACCUUGACGGUACCUAACCAGAAAGCCACGGCUAACUACGUGCCAGCAGCCGCGGUAAUACGUAGGUGGCAAGCGUUGUCCGGAAUUAUUGGGCGUAAAGGGCUCGCAGGCGGUUUCUUAAGUCUGAUGUGAAAGCCCCCGGCUCAACCGGGGAGGGUCAUUGGAAACUGNGGAACUUGAGUGCAGAAGAGGAGAGUGGAAUUCCACGUGUAGCGGUGAAAUGCGUAGAGAUGUGGAGGAACACCAGUGGCGAAG
rnacentral:rRNA from 1 species